rnacentral:rRNA from 1 species
AGAGUUUGAUCAUGGCUCAGGAUGAACGCUGGCGGUCUGCUUAACACAUGCAAAUCGAACGGAAGUAGCAAUACUUUAGUGGCGGACGGGUGAGUAACGCGUGAGAAUCUACCUUCAGGACGGAGACAACAGUUGGAAACGACUGCUAACCCCCGAUGUACCGCAAGGGCAAAUAUUUAUAGCCUGAAGAAGAGCUCGCGUCCGAUUAGCUAGUUGGGGGGGUAAAAGCCCACCAAGGCGACGAUCGGUAGCUGGUCUGAGAGGACGAUCAGCCACACUGGGACUGAGACACGGCCCAGACUCCUACGGGAGGCAGCAGUGGGGAAUUUUCCGCAAUGGGCGCAAGCCUGACGGAGCAAGACCGCGUGGGGGAGGAAGGCUCUUGGGUUGUAAACCCCUUUUCUCUGGGAAGAACAAAAUGACGGUACCAGAGGAAUCAGCAUCGGCUAAC